rnacentral:siRNA from 1 species
CACGAGUUAUCAAAAUUGAGUUG